rnacentral:lncRNA from 1 species
GUACUCAGAGCCUGGGAGAAAAGGACACUGCAUAUCACAGAGAGAUGCAUGGGUGUUACACUCAGAAAGAGAGUGAACAACUAGAAGAUGUGGAAGACUGAGUUUGGCUCUGGAGUCAAUAAUUCUCAAAACAGCUUUCUGAACUCUGAAUCGCAGUAAAGCUGGUGUUCUCCUGAAGCCAACAUUUAUGGUAUUACCUUGCUGAUCCAGGCAAAAUGGCAAAAGUAUAGUGAACAUAAAGCCAGGGGCUGAGAUUGUGGGCGUCCUCUGUACCAAGUUUCUGAUUAUGGCAAGGGUAGAAGUUCACCAGGCUUAGAAUAUAAACUGAAACCUUGAAGAAGUGACCACCUUGUCAUCAACACUUUAUUCUAAGGAUAACAGAGAUAAAUGAUAUAAGGAUCUCUGUUUCUUAAUGGCAUUGUUGAGCCCUAAACUUUCUACUGCUAGAUAUUUUAUUGCAUGAAAUAAAUAAACCUUAGUUGUUUAAAAUA